rnacentral:rRNA from 1 species
AGUCGUGUUGCUUGAUAGUGCAGCACCAAGUGGGAGGUAAACUCCUUCUAAAGCUAAAUACCGCCAUGAGACCGAUAGCGAACAAGUACCGUGAGGGAAAGUUGAAAAGCACUCUGAAUAGAGAGUCAAAGAGUACGUGAAACUGCCUAGGGGUGCAAACCCGUUGAACUCAAUUAUCCGAGCGCCGAUAUUCACCCGGGGGCUAACCCCCCCCGGGGCACUUAUCGCGCGCAGCACGCGGACAUCGCGAUCCAUUACGGGAAGCGCGCGAGCGACUCGAACGCAUCGUAACCAGCAACCCUGGCCCCUGGCUCGCGUGGUCGACCUCCCAUUCGUAGCGGCGUUCAGUUCUGAAGGCCUUCGCCGCGAACGGAGGAUGGCGGACCACCGGUCUUCGGACCGGCCCGCCGCAUCGACCGAGCCCCGGUGUGCCGUCUGGUAGCGUGAUGGACUCCACAGCGAAACGGGUCGGCCCGGGUCCAGCGCGUAUGGGUUCCGCCCAUACACCGCCACCUGGCCACGGGCAAUCCAGCCCGGGCAGUAACAUGCGGCCCCGAUCGGCGAUGCAGAACAAACCGAAUUGAGGUAC